rnacentral:rRNA from 1 species
UCUGACCGAGCACGCCGCGUGAGUGAAGAAGGUUUUCGGAUCGUAAAACUCUGUUGGUAGAGAAGAACGUUGGUGAGAGUGGAAAGCUCAUCAAGUGACGGUAACUACCCAGAAAGGGACGGCUAACUACGUGCCAGCAGCCGCGGUAAUA